rnacentral:rRNA from 1 species
AACGAACGCUGGCGGCAUGCCUAACACAUGCAAGUCGAACGAGACCACCGUGACUACUGGCUCAUACGUGCGUCACGCGGGGGAACCUGCCCGUAGGCAUCGGAUACCACUCUUACGGGGGUGCUAACGCCGGAUAAUGUCCUCUGACCAAACAUUUAUCGCACUUGGGUGGGCCGGCGUUCGUUUAGCUUGUUGGUAGGGUAAAAGCCUACCAAGGCUACGAUCCUUAGCUGGGCUGAGAGGAUGAUCAGCCACACUGGGUAUGAGACACGGCCCAGACUCCUACGGGAGGCAGCAGUGGGGAAUAUUGGACAAUGGGGGAAAGCAUGAUCCAGCAAUGCCGCGUGAGUGAUGAAGGCCUUAGGGUUGUAAAGCUCUUUUACCCGGGAUGAUAAUGACAGUACCGGGAGAAUAAGCGCCGGCUAACUCCGUG